GUGCCAGCAGCCGCGGUAAUACGGAGGGUGCGAGCGUUAAUCGGAAUUACUGGGCGUAAAGCGCAUGCAGGUGGUUCAUUAAGUCAGAUGUGAAAGCCCGGGGCUCAACCUCGGAACUGCAUUUGAAACUGGUGAACUAGAGUGCUGUAGAGGGGGGUAGAAUUUCAGGUGUAGCGGUGAAAUGCGUAGAGAUCUGAAGGAAUACCAGUGGCGAAGGCGGCCCCCUGGACAGACACUGACACUCAGAUGCGAAAGCGUGGGAGCAAACAGGAUUAGAUACCCUGGUAGUCC
rnacentral:rRNA from 1 species